rnacentral:rRNA from 1 species
GAUGAACGCUGGCGGCGUGCCUAAUACAUGCAAGUCGAGCGAACGGACGAGAAGCUUGCUGCUCGGAUGUUAGCGGCGGACGGGUGAGUAACACGUGGAUAACCUACCUAUGAGACUGGGAUAACUUCGGGACACCGGAGCUAAUACCGGAUAAUAUUUUGAACCGCAUGGUUCAAAAGUGAAAGACGAUCUUGCGGUCACUUAUAGAUGGAUCCGCGCUGCAUUAGCUAGUUGGUAAGGUAACGGCUUACCAAGGCAACGAUGCAUAGCCGAACUGAGAGGGUGAUCGGCCACACUAGAACUGAGACACGGUCCAGACUCCUACGGGAGGCAGCAGUAGGGAAUCUUCCGCAAUGGGCGAAAGCCUGACGGAGCAACGCGGCGUGAGUGAUGAAGGUCUUCGGAUCGUAAAACUCUGUUAUGAGGGAAGAACAUAUGUGUAAGUAACUGUGCACAUCUUGACGGUACCUAAUCAGAAAGCCACGGCUAACUACGUG